UUUUUUUUAAUCAUUUAUUGUUUAAAAAAACCCAAAAAUUAUCAGAUGAUGGCCAACUUCCGUUUCAUAUUUAAAUAUGAUACUGAAGUUAGCUGACAUCUGAUUAUUU